rnacentral:rRNA from 1 species
UUGCUUUUUUGCUGACGACCGGCGCACGGGUGAGUAACGCGUAUGCAACCUGCCUACUACAGGGGGAUAGGCUUCUGAAAGGGAGAUUAAUACCGCAUAAUAUAUAAGAUUCGCAUGGGUUUUAUAUUAAAGAAUUUUUGGUAGUAGAUGGGCAUGCGUUUCAUUAGCUAGUUGGUAAGGUAACGGCUUACCAAGGCCACGAUGAAUAGGGGAACUGAGAGGUUUAUCCCCCACACUGGGACUGAGACACGGCCCACACUCCUACGGGAGGCAGCAGUGAGGAAUAUUGGUCAAUGGGCGAGAGCCUGAACCAGCCAAGUCGCGUGAAGGAUGACUGCCCUAUGGGUUGUAAACUUCUUUUGUACAGGAGUAAAAGAUAUUACGUGUAAUAUUUUGCAAGUACUGUACGAAUAAGCAUCGGCUAACUCCGUGCCAGCAGCCGCGGUAAUACGGAGGAUGCGAGCGUUAUCCGGAUUUAUUGGGUUUAAAGGGUGCGUAGGCCCGUAUUUAAGUCAGUGG